UAUAAAAUCGAAAACGUUUUUCGAUUGAUUCGAGAAUAUAUUAUUCAGGCACUCGGCUUAAUAUAUGUGACCAGUGACGUGGCGAACACUUUUCAAGAAGCAUUCGUUUCACAGAUUUCCGGAAGAUUCGGGAAUAUGUGGCAAAUUUAUGUUUGACACGAAAUCAGGAUUUCGGAUAGUACGAAAAUCCGAAUUCUCGGGAUUUAAUACUGGCAGACUUAAUUUGCUCAGGAUGCGUUAUUAUCUGCAUUUACAUGAGUAAUCUACAUAUUUUUGUAAUCAAAAUAGU